rnacentral:rRNA from 1 species
AUUGAACGCUGGCGGCAGGCCUAACACAUGCAAGUCGAACGAUUGGCGGACGGGUGAGUCAUGUCUGUGAAACUGCCUGAUGGAGGGGGAUAACUACUGGAACCGGUAGCUAAUACCGCCUACCAUCACCUGUGCCCAGAUGGGAUUAGCUAGUUGGUGGGGUAACGGGGCACCAAGGCGACGAUCCCUAGCUGGUCUGAGAGGAUGACCAGCAACACUGGAACUGUGCAACGGUCCAGACUCCUACGGGAGGCAGCAGUGGGGAAUAUUGCAAAAUGGGCGCAAGCCUGAUGCAGCAAUGCCGCGUGGAUGAAGAAGGCCGUCGGGUUGUAAAGUACUUUCAGCGGGGAGGCGUUACCCGCAGAAGGAGCACCGGCUAACUCCGUGCCAGCAGCCGCGGUAAUUC